rnacentral:misc_RNA from 1 species
GUGUUCCCUCAGAAACCACCAAAUAUAAUUCCUAAACCCAUCUCACAGUAUAGCAUCACUAAAUCAACCAACACCUCAAUUUUCUUUUAAUAAACCUGCAAAACAAACUAAUCAACAACGUAGGCCUAUGUCUAAAACCCCAUUACAAGCGUGAGGAAAAGUAUUUCCCUAGCCAUCAAUGUAAGCAAAGAACCAGGAUGGAUAUGAAGGGAAAUAAGCAAGACGAAGAGGGAUUGUAG